ACUGCUCAGUAACACGUGGAUAACAUGCCCUGAAGUGGGGGAUAAUCUCGGGAAAUUGAGGAUAAUACUCCAUAGAUCAUAGGUUCUGGAAUGACUUAUGGUCGAAAGUUCCGGCGCUUCAGGAUUGGUCUGCGGCCUAUCAGGUCGUAGUGGGUGUAACGGACCCACUAGCCGACGACGGGUAUGGGCCUUGAGAGAGGGAGCCCAGAGAUGGAUUCUGAGACACGAAUCCAGGCCCUACGGGGCGCAGCAGUCGCGAAAACUUCACACUGGAGGCAACUCCGAUGAGGGAAUUCCUAGUGCUAGCACAUUAGUGCUAGCUUUUCUUAAGCGUAGAUAACUUAAGGAAUAAGGGCUGGGUAAGACGGGUGCCAGCCGCCGCGGUAAUACCCGCAGCCCAAGUGGUGGUCGAUUUUAUUGAGUCUAAAACGUUCGUAGCCGGUCUGAUAAAUCCCUGGGUAAAUCGGGUGGCUUAACCAUCCGAAUUCCGGGGAGACUGUCAGGCUUGGGAUCGGGAGAGGUAUGAGGUACUUCAGGGGUAGGGGUAAAAUCCUGUAAUCCUUGGAGGACCACCGGUGGCGAAGGCGUCAUACUAGAACGAAUCCGACGGUGAGGGACGAAGCCCUAGGUCGCAAACGGGAUUAGAUACCCCGGUAGUCUAGGGUGUAAACGCUGCAGACUAGGUGUUGGAGGCCCUACGGGGGCACCCAGUGCCCGAGAGAAGUUGUUAAGUCUGCUACUUGGGGAGUACGUCCGCAAGGAUGAAACUUAAAGGAAUUGGCGGGGGAGCAC
rnacentral:rRNA from 1 species